rnacentral:rRNA from 1 species
UGGGGAAUAUUGGACAAUGGGCGAAAGCCUGAUCCAGCCAUGCCGCGUGUGUGAAGAAGGUCUUAGGAUCGUAAAGCACUUUAAGUUGGGAGGAAGGGCAGUAAAUUAAUACUUUGCUGUUUUGACGUUACCGACAGAAUAAGCACCGGCUAACUCUGUGCCAGCAGCCGCGGUAAUACAGAGGGUGCAAGCGUUAAUCGGAAUUACUGGGCGUAAAGCGCGCGUAGGUGGUUAGUUAAGUUGGAUGUGAAAUCCCCGGGCUCAACCUGGGAACUGCAUUCAAAACUGACUGACUAGAGUAUGGUAGAGGGUGGUGGAAUUUCCUGUGUAGCGGUGAAAUGCGUAGAUAUAGGAAGGAACACCAGUGGCGAAGGCGACCACCUGGACUGAUACUGACACUGAGGUGCGAAAGCGUGGGGAGCAAACAGGAUUAGAUACCCCUGUAGUCCCUGAGCGGGCUGGCAAGGCGCAU